rnacentral:rRNA from 1 species
GACGAACGCUGGCGGCGUGCCUAAUACAUGCAAGUUGAGCGCUGAAGGUUGGUACUUGUACCAACUGGAUGAGCAGCGAACGGGUGAGUAACGCGUGGGGAAUCUGCCUUUGAGCGGGGGACAACAUUUGGAAACGAAUGCUAAUACCGCAUAAAAACUUUAAACACAAGUUUUAAGUUUGAAAGAUGCAAUUGCAUCACUCAAAGAUGAUCCCGCGUUGUAUUAGCUAGUUGGUGAGGUAAAGGCUCACCAAGGCGAUGAUACAUAGCCGACCUGAGAGGGUGAUCGGCCACAUUGGGACUGAGACACGGCCCAAACUCCUACGGGAGGCAGCAGUAGGGAAUCUUCGGCAAUGGACGAAAGUCUGACCCGAGCAAACGCCGCGUGAGUGAAAGAAAGGUUUUUCGGAU